rnacentral:lncRNA from 1 species
CAUUAAUUUAUUGUGCAAAUAAUUUAGUGCAAUUUUUAAGUUGGUGCUUAAAAAAUACGUGUUUACGACUUUGUCUUGGAUGUAUACAAAGCACACCAACACAUAUUUUAGAAAUCGAAGCAGCAGAGCCUCCUUUGAAUCUUAGACGGCAAUUUUUGUGUGAUGUUUUUAUAUCAAAACUCCUAGCACAGAAAAUAUCUGAGAAAAUACAAAACCUCAAUUCAAAAAUAGAUAGUCCCUUCUGGCGAAGUAAAAUUCAUCCCAAAGUAAUAAGCAGUUAUCAGCUAUUAAUCCAAUUUAAUAGCGAGGUUUACAGAAAUGACAUCCUUCCCUUUUAUAAUUGUGAUUAUAACGUAUUAGAACUACAAAUUCCAUAUUAUUAUCUUAAUAUUGAACCACAUGUUAAUCAAUUUAACAUAAAUACGUUUGUUGAGCAAAAAAUUCUGAAAAGAUUGCCGCAGUCCGAAUGUAUUUAUACAGAUGGAUCCAAAUUCGCUGAGUCUUACUGGAUGCGCCUUUUACCAUUCAAAUGAAAAUCUAUCCAAAAAA